rnacentral:rRNA from 1 species
CUACGGGCUGCUCCAGUAAGGAAUAUUGCGCAAUGGAGGCAACUCUGACGCAGCCAUGCCGCGUGCAGGAAGAAGGCCUUAUGGGUCGUAAACUGCUUUUAUUUAGGAAUAACCCCCUGCUCGUGAGCAGGGCUGAAGGUACUAAAAGAAUAAGCACCGGCUAACUCCGUGCCAGCAGCCGCGGUAAUACGGAGGGUGCAAGCGUUAUCCGGAUUUAUUGGGUUUAAAGGGUGCGCAGGCGGGCUAUUAAGUCAGUGGUGAAGUCCCGGGGCUCAACUCCGGAACUGCCGUUGAUACUGAUAGUCUUGAGUUUGGUUGAAGUGGGCGGAAUGUAGCAUGUAGCGGUGAAAUGCAUAGAUAUGCUACAGAACACCAAUCGCGAAGGCAGCUCACUAAGCCAAAACUGACGCUCAUGCACGAAAGCGUGGGGAGCAAACAGGAUUAGAUACCCUAGUAGUC